AUGCUCAGUGAGGUCGGCGCCCGCCAGUAACAAACAUGGCUCCCUGAAGCCGCUCAGGCUCAAGAGCAACAUGGAGGUCUGCACUUAAUCGCUCCUCUCCGGGGGCGGCCAUACCGAGGAGGCGUCUCUUCCGUGCAGGCAGGCUCUCCUGGGGACCUCAGAGAUUCUCUCCAGCGGCAGCGGAAAACGGACAAUGGGUGGAUUCGGGUCCAGAUUCUGGUAGGAGGGAGUUUGGGAUCGAGAUCUGGAAAAAAGCACUAGACUGGAAGAGGACGCGAUGGAGUCGGAGCCGCUGGCGGGGACAAAAACCAGAGGCCGGGGAAGGCGCCGGUGGGAGGCAAGGCACGGAUGGACUUUACCUGCGCACGCGUCGCAGCCAUCUCCGCGCACAGUGGUGGCCACCGCGACUGGUGCUGAAGUGUUGGCGCGUGCCGGGCGCUCCGCUGGGACCCGGGUUGCUGGCCCUGAGUCUCAGCUUUCUCAUCUGUACGGUUGGGACAAGUACAGUAACCCUCGCCCGUCAAGACGGGCCAGGGCUGUGGCGAGGGUCCACGCCUUAGAGCAGGUACCUAUCUUGUGCAGGGCCCUGAGAUGGGGUCUGACUCAGUUCCUGCGGGGAACUUCACCAGUGACCCAGUCAGUGCCCUUCAGUUAAAGACCACCAGGAGCACACUUGCAGGAGUAGGGCUGAUUGGAGCCAUUGUACAGUGUCGGGAACAUACCAGGACACUGAGAAUAGUGUCAUGUCAUAAGGACCCAGAGCAGAUGGACCCUGCUGUGAUGCACAAAGGUGAGGGUGCAGCUGCCCAGGACACACUCAUGCAUGUUUGUGUGGACCAUGGAAGAUGGCAGGGGAAGAGCUGUCAGGUUGUUGGGGCAGAGGGUGCGCAUGAGUACUCGCCUGUAAGUCAUGUUGUAGAAUCACCUCUCACAGCCGCUGUAUCUUCCCACCAGCAUCACCAGAUAACUCCUUUAUCAUCACUUCAGUAAUGCUUGAUUUUGGCUGACUUUUUUAUGUUUACCAGUUCAGAUAAAGAGAAUUGCACUCUCAUCAUUGCUAUAAUGUACAUUUGACUACUAAUGAGUCUGAGAAUCUUCAGAUACAUUUGUUAGUCAUUAAUGUUUUCUCUCUCUCUUUUUUCUGUUUUUUGAGAUGGAAUCUUGCUCUGUUGCCCACGCUGGAGUGCAGUGGCAUGAUCUCAGCUCACUGCAACCUCUGCCUCCUGGGUUCAAGUGAUUCUCCUGCCUCAGCCUCCUGAGUAGCUGGGGCUACAGAUGCCCCCCCACCACACCCAGCUAAUUUUUGUAUUUUUAGUAGAGACGGGGUUUCACCAUGUUGGCCAGGCUGGUCUCAAACUCCUGACCUCGUGAUCCGUCUGCCUCAGACUCCCAGAGUGCUGGGAUUACAGGGGUGAGCCACCGCGCCCGGCCAUGUUUUCUCUUCUUAAUCUGUUUGUACUUUCAUUUACUUUUUCUUUCCUCUAUAAUAAGAGGUUUUUAUUUUGGAUAUCAAUCUUUAUAUCUUCAAUAAUGUUAUAAAUAUCUUUUUGUUCCCACUAGCUUUUCUUACAAACUUAUUCCUAGUGUCUUGUUGCACAGAAAUUUUAUUUUAUUAUGGUCAACUUUGUCAGCCUUUAUCUUUAUAAUUUGUAUGGGGUUGUUUUCUUGUUUGCUUUUGAUUUGUAUAAAAGUGAUUUUUUACCCUAAAGUCAAAAGUUAAAAUUUAAUGUUUUCUUCCUAUUUCAGAGGACCACGCAAGAUAUGAUAAAGA
rnacentral:lncRNA from 1 species